AAAAUUCAUUCCUUUUUGACUGUCCCUAUAUGAGCUCAUGGAUUUUUUUCCCUCACCCCUCACAUUCCUGUUUAUUUUUUAAACAUCUUAAUGAUCUUUUUUCCCACAUAUAUACAUAAAUCUACGUGCACAUAACUGAAUAGAUUGGAGACCAAACCUUCACUAUGCAACAGACCACACGACUACUCAGAAAAACACUGCUCCCACAGUCAGCCCCCUCUCCUCCUAAAUCAUCAGCUUUUAACUUACACAUUGUUCUCAUGCCCUUACAUGCACAUAAUUUAUUCCAUUCUAAAAUCCCCUUCCCUAUCUCCAUCAGUGACUUCAUCUUCCAUUUCUCUUUGGAUUUUUCCAUAAAUACUUCUUAGAUUCCUUCUUAGUCAUCUCUUCCCACUCACACAUAAACCUAUUCCCAUCAGGCUUUUGCUCUCACCAAUCACCAAAAUAGCUUUCUCAAGGUCACCAGUGACCACCCUAUUGCUUUUUGUAAUGAUCAAAGUUCACUCAUCAUCUUAUUUGAUUGAUCUAUCUGCAGUACUACACUCGGUUAAUCACUCCUCCUGCUGGGGAACAUUUUCUUGCUUACUCUUUCAGAAUACAACAUUCUCUUCUUUUGGUUUGCUUGUUUCUGGAUCAAAUCACCAGUUAAUGGACAUUAGGGUUGUUUUUUAUAUUUGCUAUUAUUGUUAAAAUUGUAAUGAACAUCAUAUAUAAUUGUUUUAUAGACAUAUGUUUCAUCUAUCUGGGAUAUUGCUAUGCUAUGUGACAAAUUUAUGUCUAACACUACAAAACAUUGCCAAGCCACAAACAUACAUUGGAGAAAAGUAGCCUCUUCAAUAAAUGGUGCUAGGAAAACUGGAAAUCCAUAUGUAGGAGAAUGAAAUAGAACUGCUGUCUCUUACCUUGACAACUCAAAGUGGAUCAAGAGCCUAGGCAUGACAACAAAGACCCUGUGCCUACUAGAAGAAAAAGUAGGCCCAACUCUCCAUCAUGUCAACUUAAGAACUAACUUUCUCAACAAGAUUCCUAUGCUGAAGAAAUUAAAAUCAAGGAUCAAGAAAUGGGAUGGUAUCAAACUAAAACCUUCUUCACAACAAAGGAAACAAUAAUGUGAAGACAGCCUACAGAAUGGGACAGAAUCUUUGCCACUUGCACCUCAGAUAGAGCAUUAAUCUCCAGGAUAUAAAAAGCCUGAAAAAACAUC
rnacentral:lncRNA from 1 species